GUAUUUUAAAUAAUUUUUUUAUAUAAAUUUUAUAGGUCUUUAUUUAUUUUUUUCUCUUUA
rnacentral:tRNA from 1 species